rnacentral:rRNA from 1 species
AUGGGUAAUUUUACCCAUGGGUACCCAUGUACCCUGUCGGGUAACGGGUAUGGGGAAAAAUUAUACCCAUUGAUGGGUAUGGGUAAGGGUGAUGGUCUCCUGCCUGAGCAUUCUCCCAUGUUUGGAUCCAAUGAAGAGCAGAAGAAGACCCAUGUAGAUUUGGUGGAUGGGAGCGAACUAGGCGAUCGAGGGAGAAUGAACGAGGGAGCGAGGGGUGCGAACGAGCAGAAGUUUUUUUUUUUUUUUGAGACAGCGAACGAGCAGAAGUGGAACAAGCGAACGAGGCAAGCUGGGCCGGCCCAGUUCGCGUGCGUGUGGGCGCCAGAACGGGAACCGGCGCUGAAGGCGCCCGUUAGGAGCUCCCCGGGGCCCCUGCCUCCCCGUUUUCCCGGCCUAUGGGCCGGGCCUGACAGCACGCAGCGGCGGCGCCGCCACCGGUCCCCAACGAGCUCGUCUAAGAGAUCCUCCUCCGAAUCUCGCCCGACGGCCCAGCCUGCCCCCUCCGUGCCCCCCUCGUCCGCAAGACCUGGAGCCACACCGUCUCGCACCCGGGUUUCCGACGCCGCCUCCACGAGAUCCACCGGGCAGCCCCCCGCGCUCGGAUUCCUCCACAACAGGGCCGACGAGCGCAAACCCUGCUUCAUCCCACCACCGCCUCGCCCUUCUUCCAUGCCGCCCCAGACUGCCGCUCCUGGUGGGCCCGCCACGGCCGCGCCCUCUUCCUCUCCAAGGACGGGUGCGACCACCGCGGCUGCCUCGCGGGUCCUUUCCGCUUGGCCUUCCUCUUCGCCGUCCAGGAAGACACUGACGACGGACAGUGCGUCGAUCAUGGGGCAUGACUGUUCGCCCCACCAGGCGGAGGACAGUGGGCUGGGAGUAGUCCAAGACCUGGAUCCGCAUCUCAAAUUGUGGACAAGAGUGGCGAGUGACAUGCACGACUUGCUCUUUUCUCAGCUUCCACACUCAUGUACCCCGAGGCAAGCGCACCAGACUUUGCCAGCUUCAAAGCCCAGUGAGGAGGCAGGUUAUGAGGAGAAGGGGGGAGAGGAGGAGAAACCAGUAAACCGGCACAUAAGCAGCUAUUGGACGAGGGAACCAAUGCUAUCAAGGAAGGGGACUUUGUCAACACCUUUGAAUGCGUCAGCCAUGACCUCAAGAUCAGGAGACGAUUGUAGAGCUGUAUUAGAUGUUCUACGACGAGGUGGUUGCCAGGCGGUGUUUGUCUUUCUUUUGUUCGGACGCGAGCCUGAUUGUGUGGCUCCUUGUUAUGGAGAAGGUGCUAGCACGCUCAACAAACAUGGAUAUGCCUUGCUACCGAAAGAUUCUCUUGGUGAUGUUCCUAAGAGGGCACCAAAUGAGGAAUCAGCGAAGGGUACAACCAGCAAAGAUGAUGCCGGGAACCUGACGACCUCUGAUAGCAAUGUUGAUGGUGCUCCACCUUCGGAGAAGCUGCACAACCAAGAUCAACUCCCAAAUGUGCAAGAACUCAGCCAGGCCUGCGACCAUGAGUUUGCCAACAAUGUCCUGCAUCCACCGAUUGUCCAAAAGAGCCUCUUUCAUGGCCCGCUUGUCCACUCUUCGCUUAUGGAUUACCGGCUAACUGAGUCAUGA